rnacentral:rRNA from 1 species
UGGGGAAUAUUGCACAAUGGGCGCACGCCUGAUGCAGCCAUGCCGCGUGUGUGAAGAAGGCUUUCGGGUUGUAAAGCACUUUCAGCGGGGAGGAAGGCGUUAAGGUUAAUAACCUUGGCGAUUGACGUUACCCGCAGAAGAAGCACCGGCUAACUCCGUGCCAGCAGCCGCGGUAAUACGGAGGGUGCAAGCGUUAAUCGGAAUUACUGGGCGUAAAGCGGACGCAGGCGGUCUGUCAAGUCGGUUGUGAAAUCCCCGGGCUCAACCUGGGAACUGCAUUCGAAACUGGCAGGCUAGAGUCUUGUAGAGGGGGGUAGAAAUCCAGGUGUAGCGGUGAAAAGCGUAGAGAUCUGGGGGAAUACCGGUGGCGAAGGCGGCCCCCUGGGCGAAGACUGACGCUCAGGUGCGAAAGCGUGGGGAGCAAACAGG